GCCGCUUGUGCUGCAGCUUGUCCUUGAGAGCACCCGGUAUAAACAAAUGUCUCUGGCAGCUGAGCAAGAAUGGAUACUGGAGCAGAAUAAAGUGCAGGUGGAACUGGACUGGCAGCACCUCUGCAAGAAUGCAGAAAGUAACUGGUAUCAGAAAUCAGAGGAUGUAACACAAAGUCUGUCUUCAGCAAGAGAGCAGAUGUUUCAGUAUGAUGAUGCAAUUCCUCUAAGCAAAAAUAUUCCUACCUUGGAAAUAAAAAGGCUUCAGGAGCAGAAUGCCAGUCUUCGGGCUGCUGUUGCACAAAUGAGGAAAGAAAUGGAGAGUCUUGAUAAGCAGAUGUCCUCUCUUCCUUUGACAGAAAAUGGACAGCUUGCAGAGCAAGGUUUAUUGUGCACAAACAAAAUUUCAACUGGAACCACUUUGAGCAAUACCAAAGUCAGCUCAGUUAACUUGGAUUGUAUGGCAAACCCAGGCAUAGAAAAGGAAUCAAAAGCCAAAGUUAUUGAAGAAAAGAUGGUAGAUCUUGGACAACAGUUUCCUGACAUAGGUCCUGGUGUCGGUCUUCAGUGUGGUGUCAGCGGCACUCUACAAGGAGUGCAAAAUAAACUGAGGGAAGCAGCAAGACAAAUUUCUAUUCUGAGUGAGGAGAAGCAGCAGCUGAUUGAAAUGGGAAAUGGACUCAGAGCAGAACUCAGAACGGUAUUGAAGGAAGGUAAAUUUAUUAUACAGAAAACUGCAAGCUUAUGUAUUUAG
rnacentral:lncRNA from 14 species